AACAUCCCGAAAAAGAAAGCAUUUACGUCCCUUGUAAGUUUUACCGCUGGACUUUCUAUUUUCAAUAUGUUCUGUUUUCUGUUUUCUUCCCAUCGAAGACCAAAGCGCGAACAGACCUUAAUAGAAUGUCUGAUAAUCAAAUUCCUGUAAAAUUAAACUACCUUCUUCCCCAACAAUGACUACCGAGUCCUCCUCCAACUCUUCAAUCUUCUGCGCUUCUUUCAAUCAAGAUAACAGUGGUUUUGCAGUUAGCACUCGUGAUGGCUUCAAAAUUUUUGAUCCAAACUCUGGUCGUCUCUGUUAUGAACGAGCUGUUGGAGCUUUUAUCAUAGUUGAAAUGCUGUAUAGUUCUAGUCUUCUUGCUAUUGUUGGAGCUGGUGAGCAGCCUUCUUUAUCCCCACGGCGUCUUUGUUUGUUCAAUACUACCACUGGAACUGCUCUCCGGGAAUUGAAUUUUUUAACUUCAAUUCUUGCUGUUCGUUUAAAUAGAAAAAGGCUUGUUGUUGUUUUGCAAGAAAAGACUUACAUUUAUGACUCAAAUAGUCUUGCAAUACUGGAUACUCUUGAUACAGUUCCAAACACAAAAGGACUAUGUGCAUUCUCCCCCAGUUUGGAUGGUUGUUUUUUGGCUCUUCCUGCUAGUACAACCAAAGGAUCAGUUUUGGUCUAUAAUGUCAUGGAACUCCAGUCACAUUGUGAGAUAGAUGCUCAUCGUGCGCCACUGGCUGCAGUUACCCUUUCUUCAAAUGGAAUGUACAUUGCUACAGCAUCUGAACAGGGAACCAUAAUUAGAGUUCAUCUAGUUCUAGAAGCAACGAAGUCAUAUAGUUUUAGAAGGGGGACAUACCCAUCAACUAUAUUUUCCUUAUCCUUUGGACCUUCAAUGCAACUUCCAGAUAUUCUUGUAGCAGCAAGUUCUUCAGGUUCUAUUCACGUCUUCUCCCUGAGUUUUGCUAUAAAUCAGAGAAGUAGGAGAUCAAGUAGUCUCCUUGGGUCAAUUUUGCCUGAUUCUGUAAAUGAUGCAUUGGAUCCAGCUCAUCAUCAUGUGCUUCAUAAUGCUGUUCCAGCAGGAGUGAAAAGUUAUGUGGUAGUGCGCAAGGUGGACAAGGCUGCUGACACAUCAACUGAAUUUGUUGCUUGUAGAGCCACGCUAUCAAUAAUAACCUUUAAUGGGUACUUCCAGGAGUAUAUUGUAAAUAUUAACAAUCAGAAUGAAUCUAAAUGGACUUUGGAGCGUGAAUUUAAUCUUUUGCCAGCGAUAUCAGGUGAAGAACAACACUUUCAGUUGGUGUGAUAAGAUUCUACUGUUGCUGACAUGAUUAAACUGCUUAAUGGAAAUAAAGAAAGAGAAUCUGGCUGAAGGAUAGACCAAUAUUUAUGUGAUCAGCAUGGACAGACAGCCCAGAUUUGCAAAGUUUUGACAUGUAAGUAAACUGAACUUUGCAUGUCAAUACACAUUUACAAUUGGAUUCUUCAAGCUACAGCAUUGGAGACAUCUUCAAACUGCCUCAAACUUGAAUGUAUUGCUUAGUCUGUUUAUAUGCAAAAGCAAUCAAGGUAAAUCAACGAACAUCUAAAGGAUGUGAACUUAGAUUCAUGACCAGUACGAACAUUGUCAAGCUCAUUGCACUAGACACAUUGAGAACCAGUCAGGUUAACUAAUUAGUUACCUUGAAAAUAUUUAUGGCAAUUGUUC